rnacentral:lncRNA from 1 species
UCAAAUAGUAUAGAAUUUCAGAGUUUACAUAAUCAAGAGAUAUCACAUGAAAUAACAUAAUAUGUUUUAGGAAACAUUUAUCUUUAAAUAGAUUCGACGCGCCCAUUCGACUCUCUACGCGCCUCCUAUAUCAAUCACCUGAAACUGUUGAAUAUGGGAUGAGCAUACAGGUUACACUCAGUGUGGGAACAUGCAAUAAUUGUCCAUGUUAAUAAAAUGGUAACACAUAUUGUCAUAACGUAACAUAAAUUCCAUACGCACUGUGGCAAUCCAAGGACUUUAAUGUCCCGGACCCUAUAUGUGGGCCCCUGGCGACAAUAUAAUGGUUGCAACCCUGUAACAUGAAAUCGCAUUGUGGCAUACCAAGGACGGUGAAGUCCUGGACCAAUUAUGCUGGCCCCUAGCGAUAAAUAUUUUUACAACACAUACGGUAAACACAUAAUAUUAAAAUGGACAAAUAUUAACCACGUGCAUGUACUGAAAUAAAUCCCACACCUGGAAAUUUAACUUGAACUUGAACUUCAACUUGAAUGCUAACUUGAGUAAUACAAUUAAAAUUCAUAUCCUAGUCGCGCCGCACCUAGUCAGAUAAAUUCAAAUAAUAACAUAUAAGGGCCUAUUUGAACUUUAAAAUAAUUUAAACUUUAUGAAUUUAUUCUAUAAGAUAAUGUAGAAAUCGAGAAAGCUAUAUCAUAUUUGAUUUUUUAAAACCAAAUUGAAAGUGUAUUGGAAAUAUUCGUAGACUUUUGGCAAAAUAUCUAUUACUUAAUUUAAUUAAAAUGCAUAGAAACUGAUUUACCGAAAGAACGAGAACAAAAUAACUAAAUAUAUGUAAUCAUCCCACUAACUAUAUGAUUAAAUUCUUAAUCCAUAAGAAGAGAAUAAAUGUUNCAGAUUAAAUUUUGAAGUUGAGUCAGUGUAAAAACAGAGCAUGUUUUGAUGAUGUUUGAUUGUGAUUCUUAUGUGCCUUAUGUGUUUGUGUUGCCUAUGUGUUUGAAUGAGAUUAGACGAGGUAUGAUUGAUUUUUGACUGUCUUUAAUGUAACGAAUUAUGGAUGCUAGAACCCUAAAACAUUAAAAGAUACCCUAGGCACGUAGAAUUAGACUUUGUCUUAUGACAAUUUCUUCACGAACUUAUCGACUCUUCAUCAAUGAAGGUCCGGGCGACAGAAAGUGAAGCCGAAGAAGAAACGACUCCACGCCAGCUUUAAGAACAAUUGAGGUGGGCAUUAUUUUAUUAUUACGUAUAUAGAGAUCCCCUGCGUGUCGUAGGCCUCUUAUGCGAAUAUAUGCAUGAUAUGUUUUGACUGUUAUUUUGAUCUUAUUAUAUGCUUAUAUGUUUAAUGCUCUUUAUGAAAAUGAAAUGUUAUGAAAAUGAAAUGUUUAUGAAUGAUUGACUGCCAAAAUGUUUAUGUUUUUAUAUGUAUCCUAUCUGUGUUGGUUCGCCAACUUUAAAGGAAAUCCAAUUGGGAUCCUAUGCUAGACAAAGGUCGCUAGCUAGGGUUAACGUGUACACUCAUGGAGACCGCGAGUCGCUUGCGACCGGUCUUGGCGUCCGUGGUAAGGAGGCCUCCUUCCCGGCGCGUGACAGAAAGGACAGAUAUGGAUCAUAUAGACUGAAAAUGGGAUACGCAUCCACCUUUAUGAAAAUGAAUGAAAUGUUUUAGUAAGCGCAGGUCAUUCAAGAAAACCCCUGUGUGUUACUGUUGGCAGUUCAAUUUAUAUAUGUAUGCAUGUUGUAUUUUUGGCUUAUGUCACUGAGUAUUUUUAUACUCAGCCCUGCAUGUAUUUCUAAAUGUGCAGGUUGAGCAGGCGAUGGAAUGGAUCGGUGUUGAGCGGAUUUCCCUUUUGAUGUUUAUGUAAUGAAACCUUGAGUAUGCAUCUCCAUAUGCAUAACUCACACGUUUUUUCGCUGCAAACACUCUGACUUAUUUAUCAUUUCUACUUGAACUUAUUACUACUUCAUUUUAAUUAACUUUCAGUUGGGGUCUAGUCGUUAUGGCAGACUCAUUUGUGAAUUACCCAAGUGGUUAUAUAUAUAUACCACUAGUUUGUUAUUAAUGUUGGUUACUUAGUAAAUCCCCUUUAAUUUCCGUUUCUUAUUGUUCACCCCAAGUCAUAACCCCGGUUAACCCGUCAUUGGGAUAGUGGGCUGUGACAAUUCGUCUAAUAGAAAAGACAACGGGAACAAACCUCAGAAAAUGGGGAAUACUUCAAGAGCUCCGGCCUAACCAUCGCCCUUAAGUAAACCGGGAUUUUCUGAAGCGAAAAGGACAGUACGAAAAAAGAACCCAAGCAGAGAACUGACCAUCCCUCACAGAAAUCCGAAGCAGAGAUCUACAAAAAAAAGCUACUAAUCGAAAGAAAAACAGCAACGAAACCAAAAGAAAGAGCAAAAUUCGUCAAUAGCCAAAGAGCGCUAUCAUCAACGACUCGAAGCCGAUAACGCGAAAGCAUUAUCGCCGAGCUACCAACAAGGUCCGACCCCUCUUGUAACACCCUAAUCUAAUUAAGAAGUUAAAUAUAAAAUUUAAAUAAAUAUUUAAUGCGGAAGUCUUAAAAUAAUUUAAAACUCACUUUUAAAAUAAAUAUUUUCGAAAAUAAUUUUAAGAAAAAGAAAUCUUUAAAUAAAAUUGGUUUUUAAAGCACUUUUAAAACGAUUUAUAAGAUAUCAAAAUUUUCAAUAAUGUAUUCAAAUAUAAAACUUGAUUUUGAAUUCAUAAAUUUUAACAACUUUAUUUUCAAAGCACGACAUGAAGAUGUCAGAAAAAUAAUUAACUAAUUAAUAAAACUUUUACUAAGGAAAAACUCUAAGUAUAAAAUAAUAUCUUUUUAGCAGCGGAAAAUAUAACAAAAUAAAAUCUUUAUAUGAUUAAAAAUUAUGUAUGUAUCCAUGUAUAUAUUUUCGUAAAGGUAUAAAUUCUUAAAUAAAUAUUUGAAAUGAAUUUAAAUAUAAAUUAAACAAGUCAUAAUAUAAUAACAUUUAUUUAAACAAAUCACACACAAAUCUCAAAUAGUAUAGAAUUUCAGAGUUUACAUAAUCAAGAGAUAUCACAUGAAAUAACAUAAUAUGUUUUAGGAAACAUUUAUCUUUAAAUAGAUUCGACGCGCCCAUUCGACUCUCCACGCGCCUCCAUAUCAAUCACUGAAACUGUUGAUAUGGGAUGAGCAUACAGGGUACACUCAGUGUGGGAACAUGCAAUAAUUGUCCAUGUUAAUAAAAUGGUAACACAUAUUGUCAUAACGUAACAUAACUUCCAUACGCACUGUGGCAAUCCAAGGACUUUAAUGUCCCGGACCCUAUAUGUGGGCCCCUGGCGACAAUAUAAUGGUUGCAACCCUGUAACAUGAAAUCGCUUUGUGGCAUACCAAGGACGGUGAAGUCCUGGACCAAUUAUGCUGGCCCCUAGCGAUAAAUAUUUUUACAACACAUACGGUAAACACAUAAUAUUAAAAUGGACAAAUAUUAACCACGUGUAUGUACUGAAAUAAAUCCCACACCUGGAAAUUUAACUUGAACUUGAACUUCAACUUGAAUGCUAACUUGAGUAAUACAAUUAAAAUUCAUAUCCUAGUCGCGCCGCACCUAGUCAGAUAAAUUCAAAUAAUAACAUAUAAGGCCUAAUUAAACUUUAAAAACGACUAAAAUUUAAAUAUGAUAAAUAUGUUCUUUGAUUUAUUUGCUUGAAAUCGAGAAAGCUAUAUCAUAUUUGAUUUUUUAAAACCAAAUUGAAAAGUGUAUUGGAAAUAUUCGUAGACUUUUUGGCAAAAAUAUCUAUUACUUAAUUUAAUUAAAAUGCAUAGAAACUGAUUUACCGAAAGAACGAGAACAAAAUAACUAAAUAUAUGUAAUCAUCCCACUAACUAUAUGAUUAAAUUCUUAAUCCAUAAGAAGAGAAUAAAUGUUAAGCCCAAAUGUUUUUUUUUUUUUUAAAAGCCCAUAACCCAUCUAACAAAUCCCUAAUUUAAAUCUCAUACCUCAACACCCACGCAUAACCUCACUCUCCCUCUCACUGCCGCUCUCUCUCUUCUCUCCACCCCUCUCUCUCCCUCUCGGCCUCCUACCACCGCGCCACCGGACGGCCGGCGACUCUGCCUCCCCCUGUCCUCUCUCUUCCCCUUCAUCGACUUCCCUCCCUCACUCUCCUUUUUCCUCAUCUGCUGUUGUCUCCCUUCUACCCCUCUCCUCGCCGCGCCAAGCCGCGGCCGCGCCUCCAUUUCCGGCGACCCUCGCCGCCACCACCUCCUGCCCGGCGUCACCCUCACCUUCCUUCUCCCUUCUAGCCGAUAGCAGUACCACCAUCGCCGCCCCUGCGUCGACAGCGGCGCCGCCCAGGCCCCUUUCUCGCUGCCCCGAUCAGAACAGCACAGCAGCGGCCGUGGCCACCGCGCCGCCGCCCUUGUCCCCUACCUCUCAGGUCGCCGUGGCGCGUAGCGCCGGCGGCAACACUCCAGAAUUCCUUCUUCAUCUCUAACCCUUUUCUUUUAUCCUAUGUAAUAUAUAAGAUUUAUUCUAUUUUCUUUUUCAUGUAUUUAGCAAUAUAUAAAUUACAGAAAAAUAGAUGUAUGCAUGAUUGGAUUUUGAAAACAAAGUUUUUGAUGUUUAGCCUUGGUUUUGGCGAAAAUGCAGAAAAUUGUUGAUAUGCUUGAAAUGAAAUAACUUUUCAAAAGUUAUUAAAAUUACCAGCUUGAAUGAGUGAAGUAAAUCAGUUGCUGCGAAUUGGAAAUAUUUGAGUGAAUUUUUGUUGAUUUGUGAAUUUGAGAAUGAUACAUUGAUGUUUAAAUAGAUUGAAAUAUUUGACAUAGAACGUGUGAAAGUGUGAAAAGAGAUCAAUCAAACUUUGUUGCUUCAAAGUUUGCUGCUUCAAAAUUUGCUGCUGUGGAAAUCAAAUUUGGCUUGCUGAUCAAAGUUUGCUUUUGAAUCUUCUGUUUGCUUUUGAAUUGAAGAUGUUGGGGAUUUUGGAAUUUGAGAGUAAAAUGAAUUGUGAGAGUUUAAAGAUUAUUAAAAAUUAUCUCUGCACAAAAUAUGGGAUACAGUAGUGAACUGGAGAAGAAUGAAAAAUUUACAGAAAUAAUAAAAUUACCUUGUGCAGAGAAAAGAGCACAAAUAAUUUUAAAGCUUGCUGUGUUUUUGGCAUGUUUCGAAAAAUCAGAUGAUGAAGGCCGAUGCUUUAAAUAGGAAAGUUUGAUACUUGUUGUUUUAAAAAAAAUGAUGUGGCCAAAGAUGAGAGAUAGAAUUGU